rnacentral:rRNA from 1 species
GUGGCUACGAGGACGAACGCUGGCGGCGUGCCUAACACGAUGCAAGUCGAGCGGGGUCCAUCCGGUAGCAAGUACUGGGGAAGACCUAGCGGCGAACGGGUGAGUAACACGUGAGAAACCUGCCCCGAAGUCUGGGGAUAACCCGAGGAAACUCGAGCUAAUACCGGAUGCCUUCUUCUGAUCGCAUGGUCGGAUGAAGAAAGAUUUAUCGCUUCGGGAGGGUCUCGCGGCCUAUCAGCUAGUUGGCGGGGUUAACGGCCCACCAAGGCGUCGACGGGUAGCUGGUCCGAGAGGACGAUCAGCCACACUGGGACUGAGACACGGCCCAGACUCCUACGGGAGGCAGCAGUGGGGAAUAUUGCGCAAUGGGCGAAAGCCUGACGCAGCAACGCCGCGUGCGGGAUGAAGGCCUUCGGGUUGUAAACCGCUUUCAGUGGGGACGAAUUCAGACGGUACCCACAGAAGAAGCCCCGGCCAACUACGUG